rnacentral:rRNA from 1 species
GACGUAGGGCGCGAGCGUUUGUCCGGAUUUAUUGGGCGUAAAGAGCUCGUAGGCGGCUUGUUGCGUCGACUGUGAAAACCCGCGGCUUACAGCGGCGCUUGCAGCUGAUACGGGGCAGGCUAGAGUUCGGUAGGGGAGACUGGAAUUCCUGGUGUAGCGGUGAAAUGCGCAGAUAUCAGGAGGAACACCGGUGGCGAAGGCGGGUCUCUGGGCCGAUACUGACGUGAGGAGCGAAAGCGUGGGGGAGCGAACAGGAUUAGAACCGUACCUC